CACGAACGCUGGCGGCAGGCUUAACACAUGCAAGUCGAGCGCCCCGCAAGGGGAGCGGCAGACGGGUGAGUAACGCGUGGGAAUCUACCCAUCUCUACGGAAUAACGCAUGGAAACGUGUGCUAAUACCGUAUACGUCCUUCGGGAGAAAGAUUUAUCGGAGAUGGAUGAGCCCGCGUUGGAUUAGCUAGUUGGUGGGGUAAAGGCCUACCAAGGCGACGAUCCAUAGCUGGUCUGAGAGGAUGAUCAGCCACACUGGGACUGAGACACGGCCCAGGCUCCUACGGGAGGCAGCAUUGGGGAAUAUUGGACAAUGGGCGCAAGCCUGAUCCAGCCAUGCCGCGUGAGUGAUGAAGGCCCUAGGGUUGUAAAGCUCUUUCACCGGUGAAGAUAAUGACGGUAACCGGAGAAGAAGCCCCGGCUAACUUCGUGCCAGCCGCCGCCGUAACAC
rnacentral:rRNA from 1 species